GCGUUGUCCGGAAUUAUUGGGCGUAAAGAGCUCGUAGGCGGUUUGUCGCGUCGAAUGUGAAAAUCCGGGGCUCAACCCCGGACCUGCAUUCGAUACGGGCAGACUAGAGUUCGGUAGGGGAGUCUGGAAUUCCUGGUGUAGCGGUGAAAUGCGCAGAUAUCAGGAGGAACACCGGUGGCGAAGGCGGGACUCUGGGCCGAUACUGACGCUGAGGAGCGAAAGCGUG
rnacentral:rRNA from 1 species